AUUGAACGCUGGCGGCAUGCCUUACACAUGCAAGUCGAACGGUAACAGGUCUUCGGAUGCUGACGAGUGGCGAACGGGUGAGUAAUACAUCGGAACGUGCCUAGUAGUGGGGGAUAACUACUCGAAAGAGUGGCUAAUACCGCAUGAGAUCUACGGAUGAAAGCAGGGGAUCGCAAGACCUUGUGCUACUAGAGCAGCCGAUGGCAGAUUAGGUAGUUGGUGGGAUAAAAGCUUACCAAGCCGACGAUCUGUAGCUGGUCUGAGAGGACGAUCAGCCACACUGGGACUGAGACACGGCCCAGACUCCUACGGGAGGCAGCAGUGGGGAAUUUUGGACAAUGGGCGCAAGCCUGAUCCAGCAAUGCCGCGUGCAGGAUGAAGGCCUUCGGGUUGUAAACUGCUUUUGUACGGAACGAAAAGCCCUGGGUUAAUACCCUGGGGUCAUGACGGUACCGUAAGAAUAAGCACCGGCUAACUACGUGCCAGCAGCCGCCGUAAGAC
rnacentral:rRNA from 1 species